GAUCAUGGCUCAGGAUGAACGCUAGCUACAGGCUUAACACAUGCAAGUCGAGGGGCAUCGGGAAGAAAGCUUGCUUUCUUUGCUGGCGACCGGCGCACGGGUGAGUAACACGUAUCCAACCUGCCCUUUACUCGGGGGAUAGCCUUUCGAAAGAAAGAUUAAUACCCGAUAGCAUAAUGAUUCCGCAUGGUUUCAUUAUUAAAGGAUUCCGGUAAAGGAUGGGGAUGCGUUCCAUUAGGUUGUUGGUGAGGG
rnacentral:rRNA from 1 species